CCUACGGGAGGCAGCAGUGAGGAAUAUUGCACAAUGGGGGCAACCCUGAUGCAGCAACGCCGCGUGGGUGAAGGAGCGUUUCGGCGCGUAAAGCCCUGUCAGCGGGGAAGAAGAAAGACGGUACCCGACCAUGACGCCUCGGCUAACUACGUGCCAGCAGCCGCGGUAAUACGUAGGGGGCGAGCGUUAUCCGGAAUUACUGGGGGUAAAGGGAGCGUAGUCGGCGAGGUAAGCCUGAGGUGGAAGCCCGCGGCCCAACCGCGGAACUGCUUUGGGAACUGUCGUGCUUGAGUAUGGGAGGGGUGAGCGGAAUUCCUGGUGUAGCGGUGAAAUGCGUAGAUAUCAGGAGGAACACCGGUGGCGAAGGCGGCUUACUGGACCAUAACUGACGUUGAGGCUCGAAAGCGUGGGGAGCGAACAGGAUUAGAUACCCGGGUAGUC
rnacentral:rRNA from 1 species